rnacentral:rRNA from 1 species
AACGAACGCUGGCGGCAGGCUUAACACAUGCAAGUCGAACGCCCCGCAAGGGGAGUGGCAGACGGGUGAGUAACGCGUGGGAACAUACCCUUUCCUGCGGAAUAGCUCUGGGAAACUGGAAUUAAUACCGCAUAAGCCCUACGGGGGAAAGAGUUAUCGGGGAAGGAUUGGCCCGCGUUGGAUUAGCUAGUGGGUGGGGUAAAGGCCUACCAAGGCGACGAUCCAUAGCUGGUCUGAGAGGAUGAUCAGCCACAUUGGGACUGAGACACGGCCCAAACUCCUACGGUAGGCAGCAGUGGGGAAUAUUGGACAAUGGGCGAAAGCCUGAUCCAGCAAUGCCGCGUGAGUGAUGAAGGCCUUAGGGUUGUAAAGCUCUUUUACCCGGGAUGAUAAUGACAGUACCGGGAGAAUAAGCUCCGGCUAACUUCGUGCCAGCCGCCGCCGUAACAC